rnacentral:rRNA from 1 species
UACGAAGGGGCUAGCGUUGCUCGGAAUUACUGGGCGUAAAGCGCACGUAGGCGGCUUCUAAGUCGGGGUGAAAUCCUGGAGCUCAACUCCAGAACUGCCUUCGAUACUGGAGAGCUUGAGUCCGGGAGAGGUGAGUGGAACGUGCGAGUGUAGCGGUGAAAUGCGCAGAUAUCGGGAGGAACACCAAUGGCGAAGGGCAGCCUUGGCUGGGACGGUACUGACGUGCUGAGACGCGAAAGCGUGGGGAGCAAACAGG